GUCUGCGGCCAUGCCACCCUGAACAAGCCCGAUGUCUGAUCUCGGAAGCUAAGCAGGGUCAGGCCUGCUUAAUACUUGGAUGGGAGACCACUUGGGAAGACCAGGUGCUGUAGGCA
rnacentral:rRNA from 1 species